GGAAAGACGCUGCGCUGGGGCACCAGCACCAAGUCCACGUCGCACAGGUCAGGCUGGAAGAGGCGCUGCUCGUUCAGGCGGCCCAUCAAGCAGGCAAAGUGCAGCGCCACGUCCUCCACCAGCGAGAACUCAGCCGCCGCAGCUGCAGCUUGCGGACUCUAGUAGUUAUGGCACACAGGCCCGGCUACCCCGCAGCACGUAGGAUCCUCCUGGACCAGGGACUGAACCCAUGUUCCCUGUAUUGGCAAGCAGAUUCCCAACCACUGGACCACCAGGGAAGUCCACCACCAUCUCUCUUGAGUUCCUCCCCAACACCUCCUUCACCCCAACCAAGAAGCCACUUGUUUGUUCCUCUGUCUCAGGGCUGCUAGCCCAUCUUGGUCUGGCCAAUCUAACAGGAAUAAAGUGCCAACCCCCUUUCAUCUCCA